GAACUCGUCGUUGGCUGGCUGAUGGUCCGGUGAGUAAGAAGGGAAGCGGCUGCGAGCACGCCACCGGUGUUGGGUCGAUGGUGUCGUGCCUCGGCGGCCGGGGUGAGGCAGAGUAGAUGGGAAGCAGCGGCUCCCCUAUCCCCCGAGCUCCAGAUCCAUGGCGGCAGCAGCAGCAAGGUUUUCCUCUGGAAUAUGGAUAAUUUUAACAUGGAUACUAAACCAGAAGAACAUACGAACUUUGUAACGGACAUAAGAUUCAGACCGAAUUCGACUCAGUUGGCUACAUCAUCUUCUGAUGGAACUGUUCAACUAUGGAACGUUGUUGAAGCAUUUUCUUCUACUUUCUCAAUAUGUGUUUCUCAUUAGUAAUUGUGAAUUUCCUUAUUUGCUGCAAGUUCUGGCUUUUUUUUGGGUGCAUUUCACUGCCUACUAUUGACACUGGAAUGUAAACUUUUGCUCUUUGAUUGUGGCAAGAGAUCAUUGCAAACUUGAGUUACUCUCCUAUGCAUGUUACUGGACCUUUGGAUGAGAUGUGGAUGGAUCAGAUUUAGAAAGAUAAUAGGAGGCACAUAGAUAACCUGUUGACCCGUGAGUUGGCUAUUCCAUUCAUGUGUCUCAUGUCUUUCUAGAUCUUAGUAAGCUAUUACAUGUUUACACCCAAAAUCCCAAAUAUUUGCACUGCAUAUUUCACUUAUAUAUGGGCAUACGUAAGUGACAGUCUUGUAAAUAAGAUGAUGCUCUCCUAUCUUUUAGUGUAAAAGGGGAACACAUUUACCUCUUUUUUUAUCAAGUGUCCAGCUUUUGGAGCUCCACAGAAAACUGAUGUCUUAAAUGUAAAGAGCCGAACUGAAGAUCUAAGCCUUAUUGUACAUUUAGUUCCAAUAUUUUAUUGUUCAAUGUAAUCUGAAAUAAUAUUGUAUCAGGCCAUCGUUUGUAGUGGCUGUCCAGUAACCAAAUUGCAAGUCAAGUACUUUUGAUGAUUAUGGAGUCUAAUGGGUUAAAGCUGACCGAAAGCUAAAAUUGUCUCUUCUUUGGGCAUACAAAAAUUGUUGAUGGAUUUAGUUUGAUUUGUUUAUUACUGUGUGACCCAAUAACUCUGUUCUUUUGUUGUCUGUCUUUUUUUGAUACACAUGAUUGUUGAUUGGACACAAACAGGUUUAGUCAGAUUGAGCUUGAACAUGCAGGUUUAGCAUACAGUUGGUUGAUAUAAUUGUAGGAAACCAAACUUGAAGCAUCAAUUCGCUAAUCAUGUGCGCAUAUAGUUUUAUAUUGACUUAUGUUUCACUUCACCAUGUUAGUAUUAACUGCCUGAUACCUAAAUCCAUCGUUUUGCAGUGAACCGGCGCAUUACAAACAUUUCUUGGGCAUUCCUCCCAUGUGACAUCAGUAGAUUUCCACCCGAAAUUAACAUAGAUUCUAUGCUCGUGUGACAACAAUGGAGAGCUCCGGUUCUGGACAGUUGGUUAAAUUGGAGCUUCAAUACCCCCUCCUACUUCCUCUAGUACGACGUCAGUGUUGGUCCGCUAACCGUCUUGCCCGUUGCCUAAGAAGAGGACUCCCGGGAAGCAUGACGCCGAUGCGACGGGAAAGGACAAGGCGGGGAAGGAUAAGACAUCUGGAUGAGAAGAAAAAGAAGCGCAAGACUGGCAAGGUCGAGACUCAUCUUGAAUUCCCUGGACGUGAAAAGGUCAAAUUUGGUUUAAGUUGUUGAAGCUCCACCAAAGCUAUCAUUCCCAAAGGUCCCUUCUCUUCUCACAUCCUUGUAUGUUAUUAGAUUUGGUUGGGUUCGUAUGAAAGGUUGUAUGAACUUUUGAAGGACGCCCCAUAUACUUCAGUGCUUGUAUGUUUCUCUUAGAUUCUUAUAUGGUCUGAUCUCUUCCCAUAGGAAUUUGACUGUUGGCAUUUGUUGUUACCAAAUAGAUCAAUUUUCAACCAUUUAGAAAUGAGAACUUGACUUCUUGUAAUUGCCAAUUUGGUGUACAUGAUUUGACAAUGAAAAAUAAUGUUAUAUGAUGAAUGAAUGAUGUUUUUAGCAGCCAAAUUGACGUUUCACAUUGGGCUCUCUUAUUCUUACAGCACACUGUUGCUGGGUUUUUUAUGGCUGGAGUAUAGGCAAUGUUGCUCUGCGCAAGAAACAAAUUACCUUUCUUGUGGAUAAUAGUACUAUGCUGAUCUUGUUAACCUAGCAUUGUUAGUAAACAGUUGACAUAAGAUCUCUGUAAAAAAUUAUAUUUGUCGUCUAUGGAAUUAUGUUGAAUGGUUGCCAACAGAAUGUUUGAAGAAUUGCUUGUUUAUUUGCUGAAUUUGGUCCACUUUUUGAUGAAAAGGAGCCUUGUAUGUAAUCCAUCAGUUGUGCAUGCAUGUAUGUUAUCAAUUAGAGCUAAAAUUUCAUGGAAAGGGCGCCACCCUACCUGGCACCGUACAAACUUCCCCUCAGGUGGCGCCACCGGGUGGCGCCCCAACCACUAGUUCUACGUCAAAGCAGCCUACUCUCCGACCGCAGGGGGCGAAGCGCCAGCCCCGGUCUGCCUCGUCUUCUUCCGUCGCCUUAGGGCCAUUAAGGUGUGAUGGAAGUCGGCCUUUGCCGAUGGAAGGACUUCGUUUCUACUUCCUCCGUUUUUACAUAUAAGUUUUUUUUAAAGAUUCUGUUAUAGAUUACAUACGAAGCAAAAUAAAUGCAUCUACACUCUUGAAUAUGUCUAUAUAUAUUCGUGUGUAGUUCGUAUUGAAAUCUCUAAAAUAACAUAUAUUUAGAAGUGGAGGGGGGUAUUUUUCUGAGUUUUUCUAGGGUUUGUAUCCUGCUCAGGGAGAUAAGGCGGUGGCGGCUCUCUAAAGAUGGAAUAAGGUUCUUCCCGCUCCAGUGGUGCUUCUAAUGGAGAUUUAUAUGGCAGAUCUCAUGAGAUUCAGUCGCCCUUUGUCUCAGGGGUGACAUGGAUACUUCCUGAGCGCUUCGCUAACUCCGAGAUUGCCCCGGAAGCAGUAUAUGCACUUCUGGGCAUUGUAAGUUCUGUCAACCAGCAUAUAAUUGAGACACCAACUGAUGGUCACUCACUGGCCUCCAAGGAACAAUCUAUCCCAUGGGCUCUUGUUGUAUCUAUACUCAAGGAUGUCGAAGCAGUUGUUGAAGUUGCCGCCCAGCACUUUGUUGGAGAUGAUCGCAAAUGGGGCUUCCUUGCUGUUACAGAAGCAGUGAAAGCAUGUGUCAGGUUAGCCGCUUUCAGGGAGAAUGGCUACAGGAUGCUCCUACAAGGAGGGGAGGUGGAAAACGAAGAGGAGGAUGUUCUUGAAGACAAUCAGGGAGUCAAGACUAAUGGAGUGCCAGUAAUCUAUCCGGUCAAUGGACAUUCCCAAAAUGGCCAUUGGAUCAUGUCUGAUGGUCCGGAUGGAAAACCUGGAAUUAUAUCUAAGACUCUGGAGGGAAGAGCAGUAGCUGCUUUAAACAGGUUUGGUCAGAAUGCAAAGAUGUUGUCAGAUCCCACGUGGAUGAGCAGGCUCCAACCUUCUCCUGUUCCUCCUGUGAUGGAGAUUGAGAAGCCAACUCUCGCAACCAUUUGGUCUUCUAAAGGGAUUUCUGGGCGCUUAUUCAUGUUAGGGGAGGCCGUCCACAUAUUCAGACCACUUGUAUACGUACUCUUGAUUAGAAAGUUUGGCAUCAAAUCUUGGACCCCGUGGUUGGUCUCACUAGCUGUGGAGCUCGCAAGCCUUGGCAUUCAUUCGCAUGCAACAGAUCUGAAUCAUAGAGCUGGGAAAGUUCAUCAGCUCUCGUCUGCUGAGAGGGAUGAGUUGAAAAGGCGAAAAAUGAUGUGGGCACUUUAUGUCAUGAGAGAUCCAUUCUUUGCCAGCUACACCAGGCGUCAUCUUGAGAAGGCUGAGAAAGCACUUAGUCCGGUGCCGCUUAUCGGUUUCAUCACAGGUAAACUCGUGGAACUAUUGGAGGGGGCUCAGUCGCGGUAUACAUAUACAUCAGGGUCGUAGAGGAGGAUUGGGAUAGAUUUACCUGCUUCUGCUGGAGAGCUUCCUUGCUGAUCUGCCAUACUGGACUUUUGCUGGUUCCUGGAUUUUGCUUUCAGUAGAUGAGGAUUUGAGCGAAACCCUGUCUUUGCUUUGCCAUUUCGUAGCCAGAUCUGGCAUCGCUGUCUCGAGACCUUGGCUGAUACGUUGCAGCCACAUAACCUCACCCCUGGUGGCAGCUGGGAAUGUAAUUAUACAGUACAUUGGUCUAAUGUCAUGAAUAGGCACGCAGCAAUACCGUCGUAUUUACCAGAAAUGAAAAUCAUAAUAAGUUUGUUCCUU
rnacentral:rRNA from 1 species